UGAGUAACGCGUAGACAACUUGCCCAGAGAUUUGGGAUAACAUCGAGAAAUUGAUGCUAAUACCGAAUAAUAUCACGGACACCCCGGUGUCUGUGAUCAAAGGUGGCUUCGGCUACCGUCUUUGGAUGGGUCUGCGUCGGAUUAGCUUGUUGGUAGGGUAAUGGCCUACCAAGGCGACGAUCCGUAGCUGGUCUGAGAGGAUGAUCAGCCACACUGGGACUGAGACACGGCCCAGACUCC
rnacentral:rRNA from 1 species